AUGUCGAUUCGCUGUCUGGGCGCUUCGGAUUUUCGCGGAGUCCGCGAGCGCCGCUCCAGUGCCUUCUCCGCCGAGAUCUGGUUUCGCGAGAAACGUCUCGUCCUCGGCACCUUCGACACCGCAGAGGAGGCGGCCCACGCGCACGACGCGGCGGCGUGGCGCAUCCUGAGGCCUCGUCGGGAUAUGAAUUUUCCCAACGUGUCGAGCCAGCGGGCGCAGGAUCUGGCGCCUCUCCCGCGGCUUUUCACCGACGAGGAUCGUCGUGUCCACUGGAGGCGGCAGCGUCGCCUUGCCAUCGCAGAGAAGGACGUGGAAGCCUUGGUGGUGUGGCGUGGAGGCUACCCGCAGGACAUCGUCGAUGAGCGCCAGUUCUACAAGCAAUUGAGAUCGGAGAGGGACGCGAGGAGGAGGGAGCGAGCCGCCUAUCGGGAGGACAAGCGUUCGCGGAAGCAGGCAGCUCAAUUGAAACUGAAGCUACGAGAAACUUCGAGUUGGGACUUUGAAGACGAGCAGCUUGCUGACGCCUACCUUCAAACGUCGAAGGAGAACAUUACCGAGUCGGAGUCAGAAAGCGACGAGUAG
rnacentral:rRNA from 1 species